AUUGAACGCUGGCGGCAUGCUUUACACAUGCAAGUCGAACGGUAACAGGCCGCAAGGUGCUGACGAGUGGCGAACGGGUGCGUAAUGCAUCGGAACGUGCCCAGUCGUGGGGGAUAACUACUCGAAAGAGUAGCUAAUACCGCAUACGAUCUAUGGAUGAAAGCGGGGGACCGUAAGGCCUCGCGCGAUUGGAGCGGCCGAUGUCAGAUUAGGUAGUUGGUGGGGUAAAGGCUCACCAAGCCAACGAUCUGUAGCUGGUCUGAGAGGACGACCAGCCACACUGGGACUGAGACACGGCCCAGACUCCUACGGGAGGCAGCAGUGGGGAAUUUUGGACAAGGGGCGCAAGCCUGAUCCAGCAAUGCCGCGUGCAGGAAGAAGGCCUUCGGGUUGUAAACUGCUUUUGUACGGAACGAAACGGCUCUGGUUAAUACCCGGGGCUAAUGACGGUACCGUAAGAAUAAGCACCGGCUAACUACGUG
rnacentral:rRNA from 1 species